AACCACACCUGAUAGUUUAUGCUAACAAGAGGACUCAGGGUAGGGACUAGCCAACCAGAAAGAUGAAGAAUGUGAUGAGAGUGUUAGGUCUUGGGGUCUCAUGAUACCAGCCUUUCAGUGAAGUUGGGCAGGGCUUGGAGAUUGAACUCAACCACAGGGGAAUAAUUCAAUCAAUAAUUCCUAUAUAAGGAAACUUCAAUAAAAACCCUGCACACUGAACUGCAGGUGAGCUUCCUGCGUUGGCAAUACCACAUAUAUACUCUUACAUAUUGAUGUCAGGACAUUAAAAAACUGACCUGUGUGCCAGGUACAGCUGCAGCUCCAAAGGGUGGCCUCAUCAUGGGUUGUGCAAACAUGACCGGCUGCUGAGGCAUCAUGGGCAUGCCCGUCCCAGCAGGAGGCUGAAGAGGAAGAGUGGUUCAUAGCAUGAGUGGAAUCCACCCCCUAUGCACAGGUUGCCACUCACCAUUCCAAAUCCUGCUCCAGGCUGUCCAACAGAUGGGGCCCCGGCAACAGGAGGAACCGAACUGGUUGGAGGUACAGCUCCUUGCUACCAAAAAAACCCCACAAAACACACACACAAACACCAACAAUAAACAAAAGAACCAACAUAAUUUGGUUUUAAAAUGACAGAAUAUAAUUUUAAAAAUGCAUGCCCCUUUAAAUAUGUGUGGUUAUGUAAAGAAAUAUCAGAUUUCCAUUUUAAAUUAAAAAAAUGGCUCUCACACCAUGCCAUGAUAUGAACAAAGUUACUAGCUUAAUGUUUAUUGUUGUGGUGUUAUUUGGGCUCACUGGCUUGCAGCCUACUGACAACACUGGGCUUCCUUUCUACCUCCUUAUAUGCUUCUCCUCUACCCUCACU